rnacentral:lncRNA from 1 species
UUUCACUCUAUGCCAAUCAUUAUGGUUUUAGGAAAGGUGAAUUGUGGUACUGGGAGGUAAGAAAAAUGAGCUAAUUUUUGGUAAUCUCAGGUUUUCCUACUAGUUUCUAAUUCACAGAAGCCUGAGAUGGGAGUAACUAUCAGUACAGCUUGUAAUUUAUUGGAUAUUUGCUCGCUGAAACCCUGUGAGGUGUUCUAUGUGUUAUCUCCCAGCCACCAUUUUAUUGAAUAUGGAAGUUGUCUGUGGUGAGAAAAAAAGACAGCAGUUCCAGGAAAACUUAAAACUAUUAACUCCUACAGAUAAGUGAUCAACAAAGAGGAUUAUUACAUCUAGGCUAGGUCCUUUCUUUGCAUCUGUCUUUAUCUUCCCUGGCUGGGUUGGAUUUCUGCCACUUGGAGGGUUUGCCUGCUUUGGUCUGUUUUUAAUCAAACAUACCCCUUGGUCUGAUGGGUGGGGUUGGCAAACUUCAAAAGAUGGAAGCUAACUUUCUUGAUUGAACAAAUAAAACAUUUUGAGUGAUACUCUGAAAGGUACCUAGGUGUAGUUCUAGAACUUGUGUUCUAAGAGUGUCAAGUGGAGAAUUUUAUUUACGUGGGAAUGGUCAGCAAAGAUGUGAUGUCAUACUGGAGUGUGGGGGGUAAUAUAGUUUUGCAUUAUAAAGCAUGCUGUCUGGUUAAACUUGAAAAGGGAGUCUUUCUCCAUUUGAGAACACAAUCUCCCUACAACAGACAAGUAGUUUUUCAUGACUGAAUCUGUGCUGGUUUACUGCUGCAUUCCUAGAGUGGUUUUUUAAAAACCACUGUUAAAAGGAAGAAAAAAGCAGUGGGAAAAGACCCAAGUUCUGAAACCAACCUUAAGUCUUUUGGGGGGAAAA